AAGGAAUGCGAGAGGUUCCGUGU
rnacentral:siRNA from 1 species